GACGAACGCUGGCGGCGUGCUUAACACAUGCCAGUCGAACGGAAAGGCCCUGCUUUUGUGGGGUGCUCGAGUGGCGAACGGGUGAGUAACACGUGAGUAACCUGCCCUUGACUUUGGGACAACUUCAGGAAACUGGGGCUAAUACCGGAUAGGAGCUCCUGCUGCAUGGUGGGGGUUGGAAAGUUUCGGCGGUUGGGGAUGGACUCGCGGCUUAUCAGCUUGUUGGUGGGGUAGUGGCUUACCAAGGCUUUGACGGGUAGCCGGCCUGAGAGGGUGACCGGCCACAUUGGGACUGAGAUACGGCCCAGACUCCUACGGGAGGCAGCAGUGGGGAAUAUUGCACAAUGGGCGGAAGCCUGAUGCAGCAACGCCGCGUGCGGGAUGACGGCCUUCGGGUUGUAAACCGCUUUCGCCUGUGACGAAGCGUGAGUGACGGUAAUGGGUAAAGAAGCACCGGCUAACUACGUG
rnacentral:rRNA from 1 species